rnacentral:lncRNA from 1 species
AAAUCCACCGUGCAAGUCCCUCUUAGAAUAAUAGGUCAAUGGAGGAUGUGGUUUCUCUCUAUUAUUUUCUUAUUCUCUCUCUUUUUCCGUUCGUUCGUUUUAUGUGGGAUCACCCGUCUAUUUAUAAGGAAUUCCAAAAUCCUAAUAGCGUUAGAGAUAAGGCCAAAUCGGUUAUUAUUUGUUAUCCUAAUAUGAUUAGAUUUAUCUCUAAUUAGCUUUUCAAUUUGAAAGCGAGAUUAAUCCUAAUCCAAUUAGAUAACAUAAUAUCCGUCGGAUCGAACCCGCUUAUGGGCGUACCCGAUUCGAUUUAACCG